rnacentral:rRNA from 1 species
AGAGUUUGAUCCUGGCUCAGGACGAACGCUGCGGCACGCUUAACACAUGCAAGUCGAACGAGAGAAGAGGAGCUUGCUUUUCUGAUCUAGUGGCGGACGGGUGAGUAACACGUGAGCAAUCUGCCUUUCAGAGGGGGAUACCGAUUGGAAACGAUCGUUAAUACCGCAUAACAUAGUUGAACCGCAUGAUUUGAUUAUCAAAGAUUUAUCGCUGAAAGAUGAGCUCGCGUCUGAUUAGCUAGUUGGUAAGGUAACGGCUUACCAAGGCGACGAUCAGUAGCCGGACUGAGAGGUUGAUCGGCCACAUUGGGACUGAGACACGGCCCAGACUCCUACGGGAGGCAGCAGUGGGGAAUAUUGCACAAUGGAGGAAACUCUGAUGCAGCGAUGCCGCGUGAGGGAAGAAGGUUUUAGGAUUGUAAACCUCUGUCUUCAGGGACGAAAAAAGACGGUACCUGAGGAGGAAGCUCCGGCUAACUACGUGCCAGCAGCCGCGGUAAUACGUAGGGAGCGAGCGUUGUCCGGAAUUACUGGGUGUAAAGGGAGCGUAGGCGGGAUCGCAAGUCAGAUGUGAAAACUAUGGGCUUAACCCAUAAACUGCAUUUGAAACUGUGGUUCUUGAGUGAAGUAGAGGUAAGCGGAAUUCCUAGUGUAGCGGUGAAAUGCGUAGAUAUUAGGAGGAACAUCAGUGGCGAAGGCGGCUUACUGGGCUUUAACUGACGCUGAGGCUCGAAAGCGUGGGGAGCAAACAGGAUUAGAUACCCUGGUAGUCCACGCCGUAAACGAUGAUUACUAGGUGUGGGGGGACUGACCCCUUCCGUGCCGCAGCAAACGCAAUAAGUAAUCCACCUGGGGAGUACGACCGCAAGGUUGAAACUCAAAGGAAUUGACGGGGGCCCGCACAAGCAGUGGAGUAUGUGGAUUAAUUCGAAGCAACGCGAAGAACCUUACCAGGUCUUGACAUCGUAUGCAUAGCUCAGAGAUGAGUGAAAUCUCUUCGGAGACAUAUAGACAGGUGGUGCAUGGUUGUCGUCAGCUCGUGUCGUGAGAUGUUGGGUUAAGUCCCGCAACGAGCGCAACCCUUACUGUUAGUUGCUACGCAAGAGCACUCUAGCAGGACUGCCGUUGACAAAACGGAGGAAGGUGGGGAUGACGUCAAAUCAUCAUGCCCCUUAUGACCUGGGCCUCACACGUACUACAAUGGCUGUCAACAGAGGGAAGCAAAGCCGCGAGGUGGAGCGAACCCCUAAAAGCAGUCUUAGUUCGGAUUGUAGGCUGCAACCCGCCUACAUGAAGUCGGAAUUGCUAGUAAUCGCAGAUCAGCAUGCUGCGGUGAAUACGUUCCCGGAC